rnacentral:rRNA from 1 species
AUUUUUAAGAGUUUGAUCAUGGCUCAGGAUUAACGCUGGCGGUGUGCUUUAGGUAUGCAAGUCGAGCGGGAUUUUUUCGCAAGAGAAAGUCCAGCGGCGGACGGCUGAGUAACACGUGGGAAUCUGCCCCUAAGUAGAGAAUAGCUCGGCGAAAGCCGGGGUAAUACUCUAUGUCCCGCCUUUGGCGGGAAAGGGCGUAACUGCUCGCUUAGGGAGGAGCCCGCGGCCUAUCAGGUAGUUGGUGGGGUAAUAGCCUACCAAGCCGAUGACGGGUAGCUGGUCUGGGAGGACGGACAGCCAGAGAGGGACUGAGACACGGCCCUCACUCCUACGGGAGGCAGCAACCAGGAAUAUUGCGCAAUGGGCGAAAGCCUGACGCAGCGACACCGCGUGCGGGAAUAAGGCCUUAGGGUCGUAAACCGCUGUGGUAAGGGAAGAAGACCCGCCUUUGGCGGGUUUGACGGUACCUUACUAGAAAGUGGCUGCUAACUUCGUGCCAGAAGCCUCGGUCAUACGGGGGCCACAAGCGUUAUCCGGAAUUACUGGGUGUAAAGAGACGUGUAGGCGGUUUGAUAAGUCGUGUUUAAAAUUCCAGGGCUUAACCCUGGACUCGGCAUGAUACUGUCAGACUUGGAGUUUUUCUUAGGAAAGCGGAACGUUCUUUGUAGCGGUAAAAUGCGUUGAUAAAGAACGGAACACCAACGGCGAAGGCAGCUUUCUCGAGACUAACUGACGCUGAGACUCUAAAGCUAGGGGAGCGAAAGGGAUUAGAGACCCCUGUAGUCCUAGCCCUAAACGCAUGUCUGCUAGUUGUUCUCACCCCUUUGGGGACGGGAGCGGCGUAAGCUAACGCGUUAAGCAGACCACCUGGGGACUACGAGCGCAAGCUUAAAACUCAAAUGAAUAGGCGGGGACCCACACAACGAGUGGAACAUGUGGCUCAAUUCGACACGAACCGAAGAACCUCACCAAGGUUUGACAUCCUAAUGAUCGCCCGGCGAAAGUUGGGAAUUCCGUAAGGACAAUAGGACAGCUGAUGCAUGGCUGUCGUCAGCUCGUUCCGUGAGGAGUGCCCUUAAGUGGGACAACGAGCGCAACCCCUGUCUCCUGUUACAAGUGUCAGGAGAAACUGCUUCGAUAAUCAUCGGGGAGGAAGGAGGGGCAGACGUCAAGUCAUCAUGUCGCUUAUACCUUGGGCUGCACACAUGUUACAAUGAAAAGUACAAUGGGUUUAGCAACUUCGUAAGGAGAAGCAAAUCUCAUAAAACUUUUCUCAGUGGGGAUUGAGGUCUGAAAUUCGACCUCAUGAACGCGGAAUUCGUAGUAAUCGCAGGUCAGCUACACUGCGGUGAAUACGUUCUUGGGUCUUGCACUCACCGCCCGUCAAGCCACCAAAGUCGGAAGUACCUGAAAAUCCUUUCGGGGAGCUAGGGUAAGUUCGGCGAUGGGGACUAAGUCGUAACAAGGUAGCCGUUCUGGAAGGAGCGGCUGGAUCAUCUCCUUU